AAGAAAUAAAAGAAGCGUGGGACUUUUCUUUUCUAGAGAGAGAGAGACGCUGCAACAUGUAAUGCCAUCACCACUUUCUAGAGAAGAGUCCAGGGGUGGUGAACCUUGGGAGACACAUAGCCAUACUUUUCCAAAAUCAGCAACUUGCAUGUCAGCAAAACCCCACUUGAAUAAGGGAAUUCACUGAACCCAACCCAUACUCUCUCUCUCCUCCCUCUCUGACAAAUAUGUUGCGUGAAUGUGAAUAAUAAUCAAAAUAUUGCUACUGUGCUGCUAAUAAUGAUACAAAUACAGUGCAAGAAGCCAAAUGCCAUCACGGAAUUCAUCCUCUUUCUUUUCACCUUCCCCAUACCUUCCUUCCUUUCCAUCCAUCCGUUUUUCUUAAAAGAGAAAGAGAUCCCUCUCCUUCUAUCUUAGCAACAAAAAAAACUUGCACCAUCAAGGAAAGAAAUAGAGAGGGAGAUGCUAAAAGUUUAUGUUUGUGCAUUCUAUCUUUCUUGUUGCCUUGUUAGGGAAUUCUCUCAUUACUCUUAUCACCUCCACCUCAACCUCCACCAUCAGAAACCAAAGCAUUUCUAUCAGCAUCACAGUUGGGUUAUUGGGGACGACGUUUCUUAAUUGGUACUAAAUUUCAAGGCACUUGAUCAAUUCUCCAGAAGCAGGAGGACAGACAAAUUGUUCAUAGUUCAUACACAUAGGCAAUCAUGGUUGAAAGAAUUUAAGUUAGAUUGUUGUUGUAGAUUGGUUGAAUCUGAUACACAUUAGUUUCUAGCAGUCAAAGCACUAUCUAUCCGCAUUGAGAUCCAAGAGGCAUUAGAGUUUUUGGGGUGCUGGAUUUGUGAAUUAUCUUCAAGGAUAAGAAGCUGCUAGCUGGUGGUGAAUCCCGCAAAUUUACAAGCUUGGCUGAGGUGUGGAUCAUUGAUAGUAUCGACGUUUAUUGUUGCUGCAUUAAGGCUGUUAACUGCAUUUAGUAAUUGGAAUCAAAGCUUAAUCA